CAGUCGCCGCGGUAAUACGAAGGGGGCUAGCGUUGUUCGGAAUUACUGGGCGUAAAGCGCACGUAGGCGGACAUUUAAGUCAGGGGUGAAAUCCCGGGGCUCAACCCCGGAACUGCCUUUGAUACUGGGUGUCUAGAGUAUGGAAGAGGUGAGUGGAAUUCCGAGUGUAGAGGUGAAAUUCGUAGAUAUUCGGAGGAACACCAGUGGCGAAGGCGGCCCCCUGGACAAAGACUGACGCUCAGGUGCGAAAGCGUGGGGAGCAAACAGGAUUAGAUACCCCCGUAGUCCCUGUCUCUUAUAC
rnacentral:rRNA from 1 species